AUUGAACGCUGGCGGCAGGCUUAACACAUGCAAGUCGAGCGGGGUGAUGGUGCUUGCACUAUCACUUAGCGGCGGACGGGUGAGUAAUGCUUAGGAAUCUGCCUAUUGGUGGGGGACAACAUCUCGAAAGGGAUGCUAAUACCGCAUACGUCCUACGGGAGAAAGCAGGGGCUCACUUGUGACCUUGCGCUAAUAGAUGAGCCUAAGUCGGAUUAGCUAGUUGGUGGGGUAAAGGCCUACCAAGGCGACGAUCUGUAGCGGGUCUGAGAGGAUGCUCCGCCACACUGGGACUGAGACACGGCCCAGACUCCUACGGGAGGCAGCAGUGGGGAAUAUUGGACAAUGGGGGGAACCCUGAUCCAGCCAUGCCGCGUGUGUGAAGAAGGCCUUAUGGUUGUAAAGCACUUUAAGCGAGGAGGAGGCUCUUUUGGUUAAUACCCAAGAUGAGUGGACGUUACUCGCAGAAUAAGCACCGGCUAACUCUGUGCCAGCCGCCGCUGUAA
rnacentral:rRNA from 1 species